UCCGGAAGCAUGAGGGGAGGGAGCAAAACUGACUUUCUGUCCUAGGUGCUCUAGGAAAGUCAAGGAAAUGGGAAAAAGGGUGCACUCAGCAGCUAGAGGGCAGGCUCAUUUUUCCUUUAAACCUUGGAAAUCACUUCCUUGCAGCUGCAAUGACUGCCAGAGUACCCAAAAGAAGUGGCUAAGAGAAAAGGAUUGUGAAGCAAGCUAAGAAGUCUCUGCAGAGUAUGGUCUCAGGGCUGCGCUGCUGGAACGCUGCUUCUGGAGUUGUCCUGUGGCUCAGUCCUGCUGUGUUACGAUGACAUUUUAUCUUCCUGGUAGGUUUUACCUACCAGGUAAGUUUUCUUCUAGUGUAUCCUGGACAGCAUGCACAGAUGGACACACAGUACAGGUGGACGCACAGCCCUUCACAAAGAACUUUACAAAUAUCUCACCCCACCUGGGUCUGUUCUUAAGCCUGAUCCCACUAGCCCUCAGCAACUCAAGCUGUUUCUUCUUUGCACUAUUGAGAUUUAAAAAAAAAAAAAAGAAAGAAAAAAAGAAAACUUUCAGCAGUUUGGUUCUGACACUGAAGUUUGACAUCUCCGUGUCAACCUUUAUAUUAUGUGUGUUCCCCUGCAUGCUGCUCAGACACACAGUUUGCAAAGCUGGGCCUGUCCAAAUAGACCAGUCCUUGAUCCCCACUAUUCAAGGAUGCAUUUUGGCAGCAGGACGUUACAUCUGUGGAUCUCAACCACCUUUUCAGAAUCCAUCCUCCUGUUUGUAUUCCUUAGCACAUCUGCUCCUCUUGCUCAUAUUCAGUGGGGAGGGGAAGCUGGCAUGUGAAGACAGAUGCUGGAAGAAGAGCAGACCUUCCCCAGUGCAAAGCCUCAGGAUUGUUGGAGACGUUGCCUAACAGAGCUUUUGUUAACUGUUGGGAAGGAGGAGCCUCAGAGGUCAUUCAGCUGCAUCUGGUGAGCAUUGUUGGAAGAGUCUCUCCCGUCUGUGCCUUCAGUCUAUUUUUGUGCUGUCUUCAUAUCAUGCCAUCACAACUCAACAUGCAGCUGCACCCUAGACCAUGGACUGGAAUAGGGAACUGAUCUGACUGAAAACCCAGCUGAAAGGAGGAAAAAAGGGGGGAAAAAAAUCUUUUCCAGCCAGCUGAGAGCUCUGAUCUCAUUUACCACACAGCAGCACUAACAGCUGUAGCACCACCAGGGGGGUAACCUCUUCCCACAGCUGUGGUGGCUGCUGCCAACUCUUCCUCAGGCAGCAACCCAAGCCUUUGCCCUAUGGACCUGCUCCUUAGGAAUUGAGUUUUCUCAUUUCAUUCCCACUGCUAAAGCAAUUCUAGCUUGUGAGGACAGGCAGUAACACAUGGAUACCCAACAUGGGAUUUCAAGAAGUCUGGUUAGAAAACUCACUUGGGAAAGGAUCUGCA